rnacentral:rRNA from 1 species
ACGAACGCUGGCGGCGUGCUUAACACAUGCAAGUCGCACGCUGAAGACCUGGCUUUUGUUGGGUUGGAUGAGUGGCGAACGGGUGAGUAACACGUGAGUAACCUGCCCUCUUCUUUGGGAUAACGCCCGGAAACGGGUGCUAAUACUGGAUAUUCACUGGCCUUCGCAUGGGGGUUGGUGGAAAGGUUUGUUCUGGUGGGGGAUGGGCUCGCGGCCUAUCAGCUUGUUGGUGGGGUGAUGGCCUACCAAGGCUUUGACGGGUAGCCGGCCUGAGAGGGUGACCGGUCACAUUGGGACUGAGAUACGGCCUAGACUCCUACGGGAGGCAGCAGUGGGGAAUAUUGCACAAUGGGCGAAAGCCUGAUGCAGCGACGCCGCGUGAGGGAUGGAGGCCUUCGGGUUGUAAACCUCUUUCGCUCAUGGUCAAGCCGCAACUGUGGGUUGUGGUGAGGGUAGUGGGUAAAGAAGCGCCGGCUAACUACGUG